rnacentral:rRNA from 1 species
UUCGGGAGUGGAUUAGCGGCGGACGGGUGAGUAACACRUGGGUAACCUGCCUCAUAGAGGGGAAUAGCCUUUCGAAAGGAAGAUUAAUACCGCAUAARAUUGUAGCUUCGCAUGAAGCAGCAAUUAAAGGAGUAAUCCGCUAUGAGAUGGACCCGCGUCGCAUUAGCUAGUUGGUGAGGUAACGGCUCACCAAGGCGACGAUGCGUAGCCGACCUGAGAGGGUGAUCGGCCACAUUGGGACUGAGACACGGCCCAGACUCCUACGGGAGGCAGCAGUGGGGAAUCUUCCGCAAUGGACGAAAGUCUGACGGAGCAACGCCGCGUGAGUGAUGAAGGUUUUCGGAUCGUAAAACUCUGUUGUUAAGGACGAAUGUAUAGAUUGUGAAUAAUGGUUUAUAAUGACGGUACUUAACGAGGAAGCCACGGCUAACUACGUGCCAGCAGCCGCGGUAAUACGUAGGUGGCAAGCGUUGUCCGGAAUUAUUGGGCGUAAAGGGAGCGCAGGUGGGAAUGUAAGUCAAUCUUAAAAGUGCGGGGCUCAACCCCGUGAUGGGAUAGAAACUACAUUUCUUGAGUGCAGGAGAGGAAAGUGGAAUUCCUAGUGUAGCGGUGAAAUGCGUAGAUAUUAGGAGGAACACCAGUGGCGAAGGCGACUUUCUGGACUGUUACUGACACUGAGGCUCGAAAGCUAGGGGAGCGAACGGGAUUAGAUACCCCGGUAGUCCUAGCCGUAAACGAUGGGUACUA